ACUCCUACGGGAGGCAGCAGUGGGGAAUAUUGCACAAUGGGCGCAAGCCUGAUGCAGCCAUGCCGCGUGUGUGAAGAAGGCCUUCGGGUUGUAAAGCACUUUCAGUCGUGAGGAAGGUGAGUGUAGUUAAUAGCUGCAUUAUUUGACGUUAGCGAACAGAAGAAGCGACCGGCUAAACUCCGUGCCAGCAGCCGCGGGUAAUACGGAGGGUGCGAGCGUUAAUCGGAAUUACUGGGCGUAAAGCGCAUGCAGGUGGUUUGUUAAGUCAGAUGUGAAAGCCCGGGGCUCAACCUCGGAAUUGCAUUUGAAACUGGCAGACUAGAGUACUGUAGAGGGGGGUGA
rnacentral:rRNA from 1 species